UUAAAUUAUGUGUUUUUGUCAUUCACAGAAGGAAAAUUGUUUACUCUGGUAUCUUCCUAAGAAACUGUACACUUAAAUUGUUUUGUCUUCAAGGAGAUUCAUAGAAAGGACUCUAACAAGUUUCUGAUAACUUUAAGAUUAUACCAUUAAACUAGCAGGUAAAGGAAGAUUUUCAUGAUUCACUGACUGAGGACAAUCAAAUUCUUCACCACGUAGAACCUAGACAUUGGGUCUUUGGAAAGGACAUCAGAGAAAGACUGCCAUUAAGCUCCAUUGGAAGAGACCAUAUCAAGUUCUUUUCUGCAGCAAACCAUCAGGCUCUCAAGUCUUGGAUCUAUGUCUCUCAACUCAAAAGAGCUCCUCCAGACUCCUGGAACUGUAUACCUAUUGGAGACUCUAAGGUAAAGCUCACCAGGGAAGAUUUCCCCCAGGAGCAGUUGGCAUCCUAGACUUCAACAGCUUUCGUAAGAUUGUGGAUCAAGACUUCUCUGCCAUCAUGAAAGUCUUAUCUUUUCCCUUUCUUCCCAAUUUCCUGCUGUCCCAGUCCCUUUCUUUUACUUAUAGGAAAAUCCAUGGGGCCAUAAUCUGUGGAUGGCUUUAGCUAAGUCUUAUGCUGUAGUGAAAAAACAGAGCAAUUGUUGGGUUUAUGAAGAUAAGCUAGUUUCUACUGAGGAAAGAUUCCAGUGGCAUUCCUGGGGGCUCAGUCUUGGUACUAGCAGGGUACUGGUAGUAUGGAAUUUGAAAGUAAUCCAUAAAAUGAGAAAAAUCUUGGGUUUGACCAACCAGUCCCCACAGAGGUUCAGGUGAGUAGAAGUCAUCUUUUGAAAACACUUAAUAAAACAUCAUGCAGUUUUGGAUCCUGUUUCCUUAGACACUGCCACCAAAUACAUAAAGGAAAUUUCUCAGAGGAAAGAAACAUAUGACAUGUUCAUAGGAGCAGCAAACCAUUGGUUUGCAGGUAGGCUUGGCUUUUCCAAGGUGUUCUAACCUUUAUGCUCUUCUAAUGGUUCUCCAGAUUACUAUGACUUGUGUUAACAAGAUAAUGACAACAUUGGAUACCUCUUUAAAUCAGCAAACUGCAGUUCUUAAUCAUUAUCACCUCCUGAACAAAAACCAUGACCAACGGUACUCAAAUGCUUUUGAGCUGCCUGUAAGGGAGGAGACCACCCCUCAUAUUGUCUUAUGCCCAAUUUCUGCCUCCAAAUAAAGAAGAAGUAAAAACUAAAAGGCAGAAACGAAAUCCACAAGCAGACAGCCCGGUGCCACACCCUGGGCCUGGUAGUUAAAGAUCGAUGCCUGACCUAAUCAGUUAUGUUAUCUAUAGAUUACAGAUAUCGUAUAGGAAAGCACUGUGAAAAUCCCUGUCCUGUUUUGUUCCGAUCUAAUUACCAGUGCAUGCAACCCCCAGUCAUGUACCCCUGGCUUGCUCAAUCGAUCACAACCCUCUCAAGUGGACCCCCUUAGAGUUGUGAGCCCUUAAAAGGGGCAGGAAUUGCUCACUCAGGGAGCUCAGCUCUUGAGACAGGAGUCUUGCCAAUGCUCCCGGCCGAAUAAACUGCUUCCUUCUUUAA